rnacentral:rRNA from 1 species
AACGAACGCUGGCGGCAUGCCUAACACAUGCAAGUCGAACGAAUCUUCCGGGACCGGUGCCGCCCGGAUCGGUAAAGAGUGGGACCCGGCCCUUAGAUUAGGAAUAACUCCCCGAACGGGGUGCCAAUACCGAAUACUUUCUACGGACCAAAGAUUUCUCACCUUUGCAUGGGCCCGCGUUGAAUUAGCUAGUUGGUAGGGUAAAGGCCUACCUAGGCGACCCUCCAUAGCUGGUCUGAGAGGAUGAUCAGCCACACUGGGACUGCGACACGGCCCAGACUCCUACGGGAGGCAGCAGUGGGGAAUAUUGGACGAUGGGCGAAAGCCUGAUCCAGCAAUGCCGCGUGAGUGAUGAAGGCCUUAGGGUUGUAAAGCUCUGUUACCCGGGAUGAUAAUGACAGUACCGGGAGAAUAAGCUCCGGCUAACUCCGUG